rnacentral:tRNA from 1 species
GCCCGAAUAGCUCAGACGGUUAGAGCACUUGACUGUUAAUCAGGGGGUCGUUGGUUCGAGUCCAACUUCGGGCGCCA